rnacentral:rRNA from 1 species
GGAGGGACACCAGGGGCCGAAGCCGGCCUACUGGGCUGGAAAUGACGCUGAGGCUCGAAAGCGUGGGUAGCAAACAGGAAUAGAUACCCUGGUAGUCCACGCCGUAAACGAUGAUUACUAGUGUGGGGGGACUACCCCUUCCGUGCCGGAGUUUACACAAAAAGUAAUCCACCUGGGGAGUACGGCCGCAAGGCUGAAACUCAAAGGAAUUGACGGGGGCCCGCACAAGCAGUGGAGUAUGUGGUUUAAUUCGAAGCAACGCGAAGAACCUUACCAGGUCUUGACAUCGAGUGACGAACUUAGAGAUAAGUUCUUCCUUCGGGACACGAAGACAGGUGGUGCAUGGUNGUCGUCAGCUCGUGUCGUGAGAUGUUGGGUUAAGUCCCGCAACGAGCGCAACCCUUAUCAUUAGUUGCUACGCAAGAGCACUCUAAUGAGACUGCCGUUGAUAAAACGGAGGAAGGUGGGGAUGACGUCAAAUCAUCAUGCCCCUUAUGACCUGGGCUACACACGUACUACAAUGGUGAUCAAACAGAGGGAAGCAACACAGCGAUGUGAAGCAGAACCCGAAAAAUCAUCUCAGUUCAGAUUGCAGGCUGCAACUCGCCUGCAUGAAGUCGGAAUUGCUAGUAAUCGCGGAUCAGCAUGCCGCGGUGAAUACGUUCCCGGGCCUUGUACACACCGCCCGUCACACCAUGGGAGUCGGUAACACCCGAAGCCAGUAGCCUAACCGUAAGGAGGGCGCUGUCGAAGGUGGGAUUGAUGACUGGGGUGAAGUCGUAACAAGGUAGCCGUAUCGGAAGGUGCGGCUG